rnacentral:lncRNA from 12 species
CGCAGGGUCGCAUCCCGCCGCAGGGGAGGCUGCAGGCCUAGUGCGCGGCCUCUGAUGGGGCGGGGUGAGGCGGAGCCAUUCUAGGAAGGAAGUCGGGAUCCCCAAACCCGGAGGUCCUGGGCAUAGGUUUUAGGGGGCUGCAGGAGAGCCCAGGCUACUAAACAGAGCACAGACGUCAAGAAACUUGGAACUUCCCCUCAGCGCUCCGGGACGCAGGCAGGGCGCUCAACGAGGGGAGGCGCCACCUACAGGACAGAGGAAGACCUGCACCCUGAUCUGGAAAAUUCGACCGCUGGGGGGGUCCGGAACCGACUGGGCACCGUGUGCCCCUCCUCCUCCUCGCCGUAGACCGUUCACCUCGGGGUUCCCGAUUUUUGAGACUCCCUUACUCAGCUGGAGAGAAAAUCGUUGCCAAGGAGCGUGA